rnacentral:rRNA from 1 species
AUUGAACGCUGGCGGCAGGCCUAACACAUGCAAGUCGAGCGGUAACAGAUCCAGCUUGCUGGAUGCUGACGAGCGGCGGACGGGUGAGUAACGCGUGGGUAACCUGCCUCAUACAGGGGGAUAACAGUUGGAAACGGCUGCUAAUACCGCAUAAGCGCACAGUACCGCAUGGUACCGUGUGAAAAACUCCGGUGGUAUGAGAUGGACCCGCGUCUGAUUAGCUAGUUGGUGGGGUAACGGCCUACCAAGCCGACGAUCAGUAGCCGACCUGAGAGGGUGACCGGCCACAUUGGGACUGAGACACGGCCCAA